rnacentral:rRNA from 1 species
GACUAGAGUAUGGCANGGGGUAGAGGGAAUUUCUAGUGUAGCGGUGAAAUGCGUAGAUAUUAGAAAGAACACCGGUGGCGAAAGCGCUCUACUGGACCAUUACUGACACUCAGAGGCGAAAGCUAGGGUAGCAAAAGGGAUUAGAUACCCCCGUAGUCCUAGCCGUAAACGAUGGAUACUACAUGUUGUGCUUUAUGUACAGUAUGGUAGCUAACGCGUUAAGUAUCCCGCCUGGGGAGUACGCUCGCAAGGGUGAAACUCAAAGGAAUUGACGGGGGCCCGCACAAGCGGUGGAGCAUGUGGUUUAAUUCGAUGCAACGCGAAGAACCUUACCAGGACUUGACAUACUACAAAUCCUUUUGAGAAAAAGGAGUGCCUUCGGGAAUGUAGAUACAGGUGGUGCAUGGCUGUCGUCAGCUCGUGUCGUGAGAUGUUGGGUUAAGUCCCGCAACGAGCGCAACCCUUAUUUUUAGUUACCAAUUCGUUGGGUUCUCUAGAAAGACUGCCGGUGACAAACCGGAGGAAGGUGAGGAUGACGUCAAGUCAGCAUGCCCCUUAUGUCCUGGGCUACACACGUGCUACAAUGGUUAAGACAAAGAGUCGCGAGCUCGUAAGAGUCAGCUAAUCUCAUAAACUUAGCCCAAGUUCAGAUUGUAGGCUGCAACUCGCCUGCAUGAAGUUGGAAUCGCUAGUAAUCGCUGGUCAGCCAUACAGCGGUGAAUCCGUUCCCGGGCCUUGUACACACCGCCCGUCACACCAUGGGAGCUGGUCAUACCCGAUACCGUUUGCUUAACCGUUCGGAGGGCGACGUCUAAGGUAGGGCUAGUGACUGGGGUGAAGUCGUAACAAGGUAA